rnacentral:rRNA from 1 species
UACGGAGGGAGCUAGCGUUGUUCGGAAUUACUGGGCGUAAAGCGCACGUAGGCGGCUUUGUACGUUAGAGGUGAAAGCCCGGGGCUCAACUCCGGAACUGCCUUUAAGACUGCAUCGCUUGAAUCCGGGAGAGGUGAGUGGAAUUCCGAGUGUAGAGGUGAAAUUCGUAGAUAUUCGGAAGAACACCAGUGGCGAAGGCGGCUCACUGGACCGGUAUUGACGCUGAGGUGCGAAAGCGUGGGGAGCAAACAGG